rnacentral:lncRNA from 1 species
GGAACUCAUUAAACUUCAUUUAAUGCAUUCCUAUGGCUCCCAAACUCACCGUUCAGCAAAGUUCCUCCAUAGCACCGCCAUUUUCGCGCCCUCGGUAAGCGAGGGCAGGGCGCAAAAACACUUGCGGUGGCCAUUUUGGGCACCUGGUGGCCAUUUUGGAACCGCCGAUCAGCUAUUUUAAAAAACAUCGCAAUGCGAAGAUCGGCAAGCGAAACACUUACUGAUCAUCACAAUGCGAUUUUCGGCCAUAGAAAACAUUGUGAUGCGGAUUCGUCAUUAAACAAUGCGCUCGUUAAGCGAGGCACCACUGUAUAAGUAACACUUGAGCAGCAGUGUCAUGGAACUUUCCCCAAUCUGGUGCCCUCAAGAUAUUUUGGACUUCAGUUUCCAUCAGCUGUACUGUAGACUGCAAGGCCAAUGACCAGGAAUGCUUGGCAUUCUAAUCCAAAACAUUUAAGGGGCACCAGGUUGGGAACAGCUGACACAGUUAAGCAAUACAACUGAAAAUGGUGAUACUUGCAUCUGUACACAUAACCUAAGGGCAAUUCCAGACAUACACUCCUCCUCCAUCAGAGUGCCAACACAAUGAAGAAUCUCUAGGCAUAUCAGUGCUAUAAAUGUGAACUAAGCUAACAUUGUUUCUUCCUAGGAAGCCCUGGGAGCUGUUACUCUCUAAUGAGGUACUGAGAAUCAAAAUGUUCAACUCCCCACCAAACAGUGGUGACCAAGCAAUCUUUGUAGGAAGCCUUGAUAACUAAUAUAGUAGAAAAGUGUCCUCGCAUCUCAUCCUGUCCUUCUCUGAACCACCAUAAUUAUAUAGUAGGGAGGCCAAGAAGUCAUCAACGAGAAAGUGGGCCUUCUUCACUGUGGCACCAACUCUUUGGAACCAGAUCCCGAUGGAGCUGCACCUGGCAACAUAUCCCAACACCCUUUAGAAGGCAUUUCAAAACUUUGCUCUUAAGAGAGUUCUUCCAGGGCAAUCCUGCUUAUCCCAUGAUUUGUGUCCCGCUUGUUACCAGAAUAUGCCUCCUGUUUUGUUGUUGUUGUUUUCUAAAUACUUGUUUAUAAUCUUAUUGUUCUUGUGGUGUUUUAUUUUAUUAUUCUGUAAACUGCCCAGAAUAGAGCAUUUCACUAAUGGGGCAGUAUACUGAACAAAUACAUGAAGAAAAGAACAAACACACACACACACACACACACACACACACACACACACACACUUUGGACAAAUGUGCAGACUGAAUUAGAGUUAUUUCUGUAUUUUCAUGGUAACUGCGGGGCAGAGCAAAAUGCCCAGAGACAUUAAGAGGCCAGAGGCAUUAAAAGCACAGAUUUGUUGUGUUAUACCUGGCUCUUAUGCAUCAGGAUUAGAGGUGGGAA